GUAUGUGAGAAAAAUAGCAUUUUUGUCUGAAUAAGUCUGACUGAAAUAUUGCAAGAUAAAGGACACUGUAUACCGUUUAGAUCUUUUAAUUCCCACAGUAUUGUUAUAAAGGAUGGGUGAAGAAGUGAAAAAUAAAAAUUUACAUAAUUUUACUUUUUAAGUUUGUCUACACAGCAAUCUAUACAGAAAAUUGCUUCAAACAAUGAUUCAAAAAUAUCUUAUGCUAAUAUUUUUCACACAGCGCUCAUGGUAAAGGGAUUAAGCAUAUUAAAUAACUUGAAGAGCCCGUUUCUAUAGUUUCCACUUAAUCUAUGUGAAUAAAUAUUAUUCAUGUCAUCAGUGGUGUAAAACAAAAUAAGGAAUACCAAAU